AACGCGAAGAACCUUACCCAGACUUGACAUGCAGAUGACAGUCCUAGAAAUAGGAUCUUCCUUCGGGACAUCUGCACAGGUGCUGCAUGGCUGUCGUCAGCUCGUGCCGUGAGGUGUUUGGUUAAGUCCAGCAACGAGCGCAACCCUUAUCAUUAGUUGCCAACAUUUAAGGUGGGAACUCUAAUGAGACUGCCUGGGUUAACCAGGAGGAAGGUGAGGAUGACGUCAAGUCCGCAUGGCCCUUAUGUCUGGGGCCACACACGUGCUACAAUGGUCGGUACAGAAGGCAGCAAAGCCGCGAGGUAGAGCAAAUCCCAAAAACCGAUCUCAGUUCAGAUUGUAGUCUGCAACUCGACUACAUGAAGACGGAAUUGCUAGUAAUGGCGAGUCAGCCACAUCGCCGUGAAUACGUUCCCGGGCCUUGUACACACCGCACGA
rnacentral:rRNA from 1 species